UUGCUAGGGACCUAGAUGCUGAUGGUACUC
rnacentral:piRNA from 1 species